rnacentral:rRNA from 1 species
UACGGGGGGAGCAAGCGUUGUUCGGAUUUACUGGGCGUAAAGGGCGCGUAGGCGGUCAGCACAAGUCAGUUGUGAAAUCUCCGGGCUUAACUCGGAAAGGUCAACUUAUACUGUGCGACUAGAGUGCGGAAGGGGCAACUGGAAUUCUCGGUGUAGCGGUGAAAUGCGUAGAUAUCGAGAGGAACACCUGCGGCGAAGGCGGGUUGCUGGGCCGACACUGACGCUGAUGCGCGAAAGCCAGGGGAGCGAACGGG